rnacentral:lncRNA from 1 species
CAAAGCUCAGAAGGCGGUGCAAAGGAGACUGAGCAGGGGUGCAAAAGCUGACGCGGCCCUUUGGGGCCUGAAAACAGCAGCAAGGCAAUCAACCCAAAGAGCGGACAUCAGAACCGCGGCGGCAGGAAGCUCUGGGUACGGGUGGAGAGUGGAAAAGACACAAAUCCACAGGAGCGCGGGAAGAGCUCAGGCCUGUGGGUGGUGCCCUCGUGGUUGGCGCGCUCUCUUAUCCUAGUUGCUCUGCGGGUCUCUUGCGGUUCUUCAGGGUCUGUUCAUCUCCGAUUGCCUUUCUAUGUCUGUCUCUGUAUGUCAGUGUAUCUCUACGUGUCUCCCUGUAUAUCUCUGUGUUAGGAUCUUUGCCUUUCUGAAUCUGUUUCCAUGUUUGGCCUCUGUAACCUUUGCUGUACGGUGUCUCUGUCUCCUUAGUCUAUUUCAGUCUCUGCUAGGAGGAGUCUAAGUAAAUCCAAGGUCAUAUCGCGCACCAAAGCGGACUCCCGGCCGAAAUCGGGACUCGUAGAGCCCGCUGCGCCUUUUGGUUCUUCCAGCCCAGGAGGCUCCCGCGCGUUUGCAGUGUAGGAGGAAUGAAUGGCAGCGUCGUGGGGGGUGCCUGGGCUGCGGGUGACGCGGGGAAGCACGGAGCGCCUGAGGACUUGGCGCUUGCUAGUAU